rnacentral:rRNA from 1 species
AGAGUUUGAUCCUGGCUCAGAACGAACGCUGGCGGCAUGCCUAACACAUGCAAGUCGAACGAAGCCUUCGGGCUUAGUGGCGCACGGGUGCGUAACACGUGGGAAUCUGCCCUUCGGUUCGGAAUAACAGUUAGAAAUGACUGCUAAUACCGGAUGAUGACGUAAGUCCAAAGAUUUAUCGCCGAAGGAUGAGCCCGCGUAGGAUUAGGUAGUUGGUAGGGUAAUGGCCUACCAAGCCGACGAUCCUUAGCUGGUCUGAGAGGAUGAUCAGCCACACUGGGACUGAGACACGGCCCAGACUCCUACGGGAGGCAGCAGUGGGGAAUAUUGGACAAUGGGCGAAAGCCUGAUCCAGCAAUGCCGCGUGAGUGAUGAAGGCCUUAGGGUUGUAAAGCUCUUUUACCAGGGAUGAUAAUGACAGUACCUGGAGAAUAAGCUCCGGCUAACUCCGUG